GAAGCUCAGCUGGUAGAGCGUGCGCGUACAAAGCGUAGGCGGCGUCCAUAUGUGGGUUCGAAUCCCACC
rnacentral:tRNA from 1 species